rnacentral:rRNA from 1 species
CCAGACUCCUACGGGAGGCAGCAGUGGGGAAUAUUGCACAAUGGGGGAAACCCUGAUGCAGCGACGCCGCGUGGGUGAAGGAGUAUUUCGGUAUGUAAAGCCCUAUCGGCAGGGAAGAAGCAAGACGGUACCUGACUAAGAAGCCCCGGCUAACUACGUGCCAGCAGCCGCGGUAAUACGUAGGGGGCGAGCGUUAUCCGGAUUCACUGGGUGUAAAGGGAGCGUAGACGGUCCUGCAAGCCAGAUGUGAAAGCCCGGGGCUCAACCCCGGGACUGCAUUUGGAACUGUAAGGCUAGAGUGUCGGAGAGGCAGGCGGAAUUCCUAGUGUAGCGGUGAAAUGCGUAGAUAUUAGGAGGAACACCAGUGGCGAAGGCGGCCUGCUGGACGAUGACUGACGUUGAGGCUCGAAAGCGUGGGGAGCAAACAGGAUUAGAUACCCGAGUAA